rnacentral:rRNA from 1 species
UACGUAGGGUGCGAGCGUUAAUCGGAAUCACUGGGCGUAAAGCGCACGUAGGCGGCUUCUCAAGUCAGGGGUGAAAUCCUGGAGCUCAACUCCAGAACUGCCUUUGAUACUGAGGGGCUCGAGUCCGGGAGAGGUGAGUGGAACUGCGAGUGUAGAGGUGAAAUUCGUAGAUAUUCGCAAGAACACCAGUGGCGAAGGCGGCUCACUGGCCCGGUACUGACGCUGAGGUGCGAAAGCGUGGGGAGCAAACAGG